rnacentral:rRNA from 1 species
UGGCGGACGGGUGAGUAACGCGUGGGUAACCUGCCUCAUACAGGGGGAUAACGGUUAGAAAUGACUGCUAAUACCGCAUAAGCGCACAGUACCGCAUGGUACGGUGUGAAAAACUCCGGUGGUAUGAGAUGGACCCGCGUCUGAUUAGCUAGUUGGUGAGGUAACGGCCCACCAAGGCGACGAUCAGUAGCCGACCUGAGAGGGUGACCGGCCACAUUGGGACCGAGACACGGCCCAG